rnacentral:sRNA from 1 species
GCCGGGCAUGGUGGUGCACACCUGUAAUCCCAGCAAUUUGGGAGGCUGAGGCAGGAGGAUCACGUGUUCAAAGCCAGCCUCAGUAACUUAGUGAAGCCCUAAGCAACUCAGUGAAACCCUGUCUCUA